rnacentral:rRNA from 1 species
ACUGAGAUAUUAAAGGGCUGCGGUAAUUUGACCGUGCAAAGGUAGCAUAAUCAAUAGUCUUUUAAUUGGAGGCUUGUAUGAAAGGUUUGAUGGAUGGAAAGCUGUCUCCUUGAUUUAUAUUGAAUUUAACAUUUGUGUGAAAAGGCAUUAAUGGUUUAGAGGGACGAUAAGACCCUAUAAAACUUGAUGUAUUAUAUUAGUUUAUUGAAUUGUUUUAUAAAUAUAAAGUGAUUGAGUGCAUUUUGCUGGGGCGGCAUGAAUAUAAUUGUAACUGUUAUGAAAUAGUAAUAUUAAUAAGUAGAUGGUUGUCCUUUAUUAAGGAGAAAAGAGUAAGUUACUUUAGGGAUAACAGCAUAAUUUUUCUUGAGAGUUCUUAUCGAAGGAAGUAGUUGUGACCUCGAUGUUGAAUUAAAUAUUUCCUUUUGGUGUAGGAGUUUAAAGGGAAGG